CUCAAUCAACAUAAAACUUCAAGGUUAAAAUUGCAUUUAGAAUAUUUGACUCCAGAGUUGCCAUUUACGACAGUUCGAUAAAAUGUCUAUUUUGACUGGCCGUAGGUUGGGUGGGUGAGGCGGAGCCCCUUCUGUGGUGCGCUCCUCAGCAUUACACUACACCCUUGGGGGCGUUUCAAUGCGUGGAGUGAGUGAUGUUCAAAUAUCAACUCUAUCUCAAUAGCUAACCUAAUUGACUAGCAGAUCACCCGCAGGUCGCUGUGUUAAAGGAUUAUAAUUUGAAUCGCCACUACACGACCAAGCAUGAAGAUAAAUACAGAAAUCUGUCUGAUGAAGAGCGCGCGUGGGAUUCUGAUGCGUUGCUAGCAAAACUGCAAACCCAACAAGGACUUUUUACACCCCCAGAGGUGCAGCCAUCAGGACAAG